UAUUAUUGGCCCCUGAAAAUUUGUUUUAUCCGAGUAGUAACAUGGACUUUAAAAGAAUAUUUUAUUGGAAAUAAUCGGAAUGUAAAUCAUCUAAUGCAAUCUAAUCCAAGCCCGACCCUCAAUUUAAAAGAAAAGCGCUCUCCAUUGCCCCUCUGUCUAAAUUUACAAUCCUCCUCAUAAACCCCUUAAAACCUUGAAAUAAUGGCCAUUUCAGCACCCCAAAACCCUUCUCAAGUUCAUAGAUUCCCACAGUUCAAGUACAUCGACGCCGUCCGUUGGCUCCCACCGGUUUCCGCUUUCGACAGAUUCGCAGCGAUCGCCUUUUUCGACAGCGAUUCCAACUCUCCCUCCAUCGAAAUCCACUGUGUAAACUCAAACCUACAAAGCUCGUUUCCAACCUUAACCUCUCAAUCCUCAUGGGCCCCACCUUCCCGCAUUUCGUCCCUCAAAACCGCCCACUCCACCCCUCAACCCGUCAUCGCUGCCGCCACUUUCUCGGGUUCCCUUCACAUCUUGGCCUCCGAUUUAAUCAACGGAGGGAUGAUCGAAUCCGGGGGGACACUUUCGGAGUUGGGGUUUCAUUCUGGGCCUGUGGCGGCAGUGGAUUUGAGGGAGGGUGGGACUGAAUGCGUGAGUGUUGGGGAGGAUGGGAGGAUUAAUUUGGUAAGUUUUGUUGGGGAUUCUUCGAACCUGAGUUACCGGAGAAUUUUCGACGCGAAUGGGCUAGUGGGUUAUACGGCGGUUAAAUGGGCAUCGCCGAGUGAGUUUGUGACUGGUGGGUAUGGGUUUGGAUUACAAUGGUGGGAUCAGAGGAGGCCCGGUGGACCAGUUUCGCAGUUUAAGGGGAACUGGUGUCAAGGAAAAACAUCUGGAAUUGUACACUCGAUUGAUAUUCAUCCAUCACGGAAACACACUUGUCUGGCAGGAGGCUCUUCAGGCACUGUAUUUGCUUGGGAUCUUAGAGCACAACAACAGCCUAUUGUUCUUGCUGGUGCUGGGACAGGUGAGGCUGCAAUGUCUUUGUUAUCUGAAAGUGAGGUUUGGGAAGUUCAGUAUGAUCGCUACACAAGGUCUUCAAACAUUAGCAACAUCUCUUCCACACGGAUUCUACCUGUUAUGAUCUGCUCAGAAGAUGGGAUCCUCGCUGUUGUUGAACAAGGUGAAGAACCCAUUGAGCUGUUAGCCGACCCCUGUGCAAUUAACAGCUUUGACAUUAAUCAGCAGAACCCCUCGGAUGUUAUAUGUAGCUUGGAAUGGGAAUCUAUAGCCAUCUUGACAAGGUCGUGAUAUCAACAGUAAGAGACACAACUUAAGCUUAGAAGUCGGCUUCGCCUUCUCAUGCAGUUAGCCGGAGUGACUAUGACAAUGUGAUCGGUGCCUUGUGGUAUCUCAAAGUGAAUAGAAAUGCCAAGUAAAGAGUGUCUUCAAGCGUCAUGUGAGAACUUAUGUUGUUUUCUUGUAAUUUCUCAAAAUUAUGUUAGAAAUAAUGUGUUUAUUGUUUUAACCUCCGAUGCAUUUAGUGGCCAUUGAUCAAUUGUAAGUUGAAAUCUAUUUUUUUCAAACAUAUUGGCACCUAUUUGAUUCCAGUUUAUGGCGUAACGCAUAACAUUAUAUGCAUCGAAUGCCUAUGCCUUGGAUGUUGGAUGCUUUGGGGUCCAAAAAAAGGCUUAGACCACAUAAAGUGGCCUAAGAAUCCUCAAUCAUGUUAGUCAAAACAUAGUUCAUCAGAUCUCCUGUAUUUGCUUUAUCCUUGCCUGAUCUGAGGAUAAUGACCUACAGUCAUGUAUAUGAAGUCUACCAUUUCAUUGA